GAAGGUCUUCGGAUGCCGCAGUUUGGUACAACCUCCAGAUCCAUACUCUCGACCAUCUGCGCACCCGACUGCUGCUGCUGUAACUAGUUACAGCUUGCGUCGAGCGAGAUCUCGCAUGGGGAUGAACCUUUCGUGAGAGUUGGUGUAUGGGUGCCGUGCCAAGCUGUGUGCAUCCAAAGACUUUC